rnacentral:rRNA from 1 species
AGUGAACGCUGGCGGUAGGCCUAACACAUGCAAGUCGAACGGCAGCACAGUAAGAGCUUGCUCUUACGGGUGGCGAGUGGCGGACGGGUGAGGAAUACAUCGGAGUCUACUUUUUCGUGGGGGAUAACGUAGGGAAACUUACGCUAAUACCGCAUACGACCUACGGGUGAAAGCAGGGGAUCUUCGGACCUUGCGCGAUUGAAUGAGCCGAUGUCGGAUUAGCUAGUUGGCGGGGUAAAGGCCCACCAAGGCGACGAUCCGUAGCUGGUCUGAGAGGAUGAUCAGCCACACUGGAACUGAGACACGGUCCAGACUCCUACGGGAGACAGCAGUGGGGAAUAUUGGACAAUGGGCGCAAGCCUGAUCCAGCCAUACCGCGUGGGUGAAGAAGGCCUUCGGGUUGUAAAGCCCUUUUGUUGGGAAAGAAAAGCAGCAGGUUAAUACCCCGCUGUUCUGACGGUACCCAAAGAAUAAGCACCGGCUAACUUCGUG